CAGCUUUAUCAUAAAGAAUCUUGUCGCUCACAGUUCUUAUCACACUUUGAACUUCAAAACGCGUUCCUUUCCAUGUUGCAGAUAAAACUUUACCAGUUAGUUCACGGGCAGCUUCAUCUCUUUUUUCUUUGGACCAUUGCUCUUCACCUUCUUCUGCUUUUGCUAACGCAGCUGCAGAGGACUGAACAUCUACAGCACUAACAACCGUAUUCCAAGUGUCUUUCAAUAAAGUUCCUUUUGCACAAAGACUUCCCCAUACACCUCUGAUACCCAAAAAAGAUUGGGAUUGGAUAAGUAUGUUCGCACGUUGCACAUAUGUGGAACCAAUCGCAUGAAGCAUUUCAUUCCCAAAUGACUCAUCUUUUAGUAAUUCUGCUUCAAAUUGCAUUUUCUGUUUGAAAGCAUCAGUCACUCUAUCAGACAUAUCGGUUUCAGUCCAUAUAGAAAGUUUAUCCAAAAGAUUUUUACAUAAUACGUCUAUUCUUUCUUGCAAUAGACGGUCGGCUUCUUUCGAUUCUUCUCGCUGAAGUUGCUUUUUAGACUCCUCAGUAUCCUCGAUAGCUUUUAAUUCAGGUUCUUCAUUAAUCAUCUUACACAAUUCCUUUAACAAAUUCAACUCGCCAACAUAAUCUCGAAAAGAAUCCCCACCAAAUAGAUUUUUAAAAAAUUCGAAAGCAUCUUCAAAUCCAGCAUCCGGAACCGCACCAACUUUUCCAAGUUUGUCGUACUUCUCCCUUAACUUUGGAUCACUGAGAACUUGAUAUGCUUCUGCUAACUAUACUUUGUUAUUUCAGUUCUAGUACGCCCAACACUAGUUGAGGAAAUAUUUGCAAGUCGCUCUCUUUUUCACGAGAAACUCACUCAAUCGUAAAAAAGACAAAAUUUUGUUUAAUAAAUUCUUACCUUUUGAAAUUUUUCUCUAGCUGCUUCAGGGUUUUCCCUGUUUUUAUCAGGAUGAUAAAGGAUCGCCAACCGACUAAGUUUAUUAGCUUACAAUUAACAGAAACGUAUGCUUACCGAUAUGAUUUUUUUAUAGUGUCACCAUCUGCGUCAACAGAAAUGUUUAGAAUAUCAUAAUAAUCUCUAUCGACAACU